AUUCUUCCAGCCUGCAUGGGGGUGCUGAGCUGGGGGCAGGGCCCUGCCCAGAGGCAGAUGCUGAGGCCUCCACUUCCAGUCCUGGAGGGACCCCAAGCCUCACAGUGAGUGCUGCGGAUGCAGAGCCCUCGUCCCUCGAGUUACCCGGCAUUAUACCACACACCUCUCUGCAUCAUGCUAGCAGGAAGCACUGCUCUGUGACAGACAGAGGACCCCAGCUGCUGAUGAUGCCAUGCUCGAUGGGGUACUUCAGGGUCAGGAUGCCUCUCUCGCUCUGGGCCUCGC
rnacentral:lncRNA from 1 species